rnacentral:rRNA from 1 species
GAUGAACGCUAGCGGCAGGCUUAAUACAUGCAAGUCGUGGGGCGGCAUGAAUGUAGCAAUACAUUUGAUGGCGACCGGCAAACGGGUGCGGAACACGUACACAACCUUCCUAUAAGUGGGGAAUAGCCCAGAGAAAUUUGGAUUAAUACCCCGUAACAUAAUGAUGUGGCAUCACAUUAUUAUUAUAGCUACGGCGCUUAUUGAUGGGUGUGCGGCUGAUUAGAUAGUUGGCGGGGUAACGGCCCACCAAGUCUACGAUCAGUAGCUGAUGUGAUAGCAUGUUCAGCAAACCGGGCACUGAGACACGGGCCCGACUCCUACGGGAGGCAGCAGUAAGGAAUAUGGGUCAAUGGACGCAAUUCUGAACGAGCCAUGCCGCGUGAAGGAUUAAGGUCCUCUGGAUUGUAAACUUCUUUUAUCUGGGACGAAAAAAGGCGAUUCUUCGUCACUUGACGGUACCAGAUGAAUAAGCACCGGCUAACUCCGUGCCAGCAGCCGCCGUAA